rnacentral:rRNA from 1 species
UACGUAGGGCGCAAGCGUUGUCCGGAAUUAUUGGGCGUAAAGGGUGCGCAGGUGGGCUGGUAAGUUCGAUGUGAAAGCCCCGGGCUUAACCCGGGAACGGCAUUGGAUACUACUGGUCUGGAGGAUUGGAGGGGGGACUGGAAUUCUUGGUGUAGCAGUGAAAUGCGUAGAUAUCUGGAGGAACACCGGUGGCGAAGGCGGCAUCCUGGACCGGUAUUGACGCUGAUGCGCGAAAGCCAGGGGAGCAAACGGG